rnacentral:rRNA from 1 species
AACGAACGCUGGCGGCAGGCCUAACACAUGCAAGUCGAGCGGACCCUUCGGGGUUAGCGGCGGACGGGUGAGUAACGCGUGGGAAUAUGCCCUUCUCUACGGAAUAGUCCUGGGAAACUGGGGGUAAUACCGUAUACGCCCUUUGGGGGAAAGAUUUAUCGGGGAAGGAUUAGCCCGCGUUGGAUUAGGUAGUUGGUGGGGUAAUGGCCUACCAAGCCGACGAUCCAUAGCUGGUUUGAGAGGAUGAUCAGCCACACUGGGACUGAGACACGGCCCAGACUCCUACGGGAGGCAGCAGUGGGGAAUCUUAGACAAUGGGGGCAACCCUGAUCUAGCCAUGCCGCGUGAGUGAUGAAGGCCUUAGGGUUGUAAAGCUCUUUCAGCUGGGAAGAUAAUGACGGAACCAGCAGAAGAAGCCCCGGCUAACUCCGUG